GGCAGGGGUGGCUUGAUGGUUAAUGCUUUGGUUUUCUGAUCAGAAGGUCAGGGGUUCAAGCCCCAAUCCUGCCA